GGAUCAUUACCGAGUUUACAACUCCCAAACCCCUGUGAACAUACCACUUGUUGCCUCGGCGGAUCAGCCCGCUCCCGGUAAAACGGGACGGCCCGCCAGAGGACCCCUAAACUCUGUUUCUAUAUGUAACUUCUGAGUAAAACCAUAAAUAAAUCAAAACUUUCAACAACGGAUCUCUUGGUUCUGGCAUCGAUGAAGAACGCAGCAAAAUGCGAUAAGUAAUGUGAAUUGCAGAAUUCAGUGAAUCAUCGAAUCUUUGAACGCACAUUGCGCCCGCCAGUAUUCUGGCGGGCAUGCCUGUUCGAGCGUCAUUUCAACCCUCAAGCACAGCUUGGUGUUGGGACUCGCGUUAAUUCGCGUUCCUCAAAUUGAUUGGCGGUCACGUCGAGCUUCCAUAGCGUAGUAGUAAAACCCUCGUUACUGGUAAUCGUCGCGGCCACGCCGUUAAACCCCAACUUCUGAAUGU
rnacentral:rRNA from 1 species